rnacentral:rRNA from 1 species
AACGAACGCUGGCGGCAGGCCUAACACAUGCAAGUCGAGCGAAGCCAUCGGGCGUAGCGGCGGACGGGUGAGUAACGCGUGGGAACGUGCCCUUUGGUACGGACACGUACAGGGAAAGCGGGAGUAAUACCGAAUGUGGCCGAAAGACGAAAUAUUUAUCGCUAAAGGAACGGCCCGGGUUGGGUUAGGUAGUUGGUGGGGUAAUGGCCUACCAAGCCGACGAUCCAUAGCUGGUUUGAGAGGAUGAUCAGCCACACUGGGACGGAGACACGGCCCAGACUCCUACGGGAGGCAGCAGUGGGGAAUCUUAGACAAUGGGGGAAGCCCUGUGCUAGCCAUGCCGCGUGAACGAUGAAGGCCUUAGGGUUGUAAAGAUCUUUCAGUGGGGAAGAUAAUGACUGGGCCCACAGAAGAAGCCCCGGCUAACUCCGUGCCAGCAGCCGCAGUAACAC